GGUGUCAUGUUGUAGUUGGUUAUCACGUCAAUCUAACACACUGAAGGUCUCCGAUUCAAGUCCAGGCGAUGCCA
rnacentral:tRNA from 1 species